rnacentral:ncRNA from 1 species
CCGAUAUCAAAGGGGUGCCUUGUUUUGUAAAAAACACAAAGACAGGCUGAGAUCAUACCCAUUAUUUGAGCGCUGAAUUGAUUUCAUGCGAUUCAAAUAUGCACCUGAUCCGGGUAAUGCCGGCGGAGGGAUUGGAGUUAUGGAGUUU